GACGAACCGUCCUAACGUUGUUCGGAAUCACUGGGCUUAAAGGGCGCGUAGGCGGGUCAGCAAGUCCGGGGUGAAAUCUUUCGGCUCAACCGGAAAAUAGCCUUGGAUACUGCUGGUCUCGAGGGAGGUAGGGGCCUGUGGAACUUCCGGUGGAGCGGUGAAAUGCGCAGAUAUCAGGAGGAACACCAAUGGCGAAGGCAGCUCGCUGGGACGUGACUGACGCUGAGACGCGAAAGCGUGGGGAGCAAACAGG
rnacentral:rRNA from 1 species